GACUAAUGUGUGCUGUGUCCACUUGUGUUUCUGUCUACAUUGUAUUAUUCUGUUCAGUGUACACCCUGCCUGAGGGCUUUGUUAAUGUUCCGGCCCCCAAGGCGUUUUUGUUUUUGUGCACUAUUGAAACCAUUUCGCCAUGUAGUGCAUCUAUGCCUCCUCUAUUCAAUGUGGCAUGACAGAACAAACGACCAAACAGACCAACUUCAGAGGCGUAGCCGAUAUGCACACACCAGGAAGAGAACCAGACGCUUGUUUGGAGGGACAUGGAACAGCACAAAUGGCGUUUGCCUGUCCGCUGUUCUGGUGCACCGACACCCAGGGUCUGUCAACCAUCGUACAGCAGGCCACACUGAGGACGAGCCGUGCAGCUGGGCCAAUUCCAGAGAGGAAGAUGCCAAUCCCUGGGAGGGGACAACCCCUGGGAGAAGCUGGGGGGGCCAGAGGAUGAGAACUGGUGGCCAUAGCACCUGCACAGUCAGUAUUCCAUCGCAGGAGGGUGGGUGUGGGACGGAACAGAAAGGCCUUGGCAGAUCUCUCCACCGCAGAGCAGCAGAGCUCAGCUUCUCAGGAGAUAAGGACAGUGUCACAAAUCGCCCAGAAGAGGUAAGCAGUAUUGUAUUCCUGUCCCUGAGCCCUGGGUGUUUACAUCAAAAUAUAAAAAGACAUGAAAACCCCAUCAGCACCUGCAUUGUGCGUGUUCGCUCCAAACACACACAUCAUGUUCAUUAA
ensembl:lncRNA